rnacentral:misc_RNA from 1 species
AAUUUUAUUUUGAGAUGACUAGUUAACUAACAUAUCUAACUGCAAUUAGCAUUGAUAAUUUCUAAUAGGAUUCACAAUUAAAGCUUCAAGAUUCUAAUAAAACGAAAGAAGUGAAACAGAGGUGAUCCCUUAAAAUAAGAAAUACACAAUUAUAUAAAAAUACACACAACCUCAUUACGGCAUAUAUAAUCCCACAUAAACUCCAACUCCAGUCGCAGAUAAAUAUUUCAAACUACUCCCAUGUCAAAGGUCAAACAAAAUUGCUUUAAACUUUGAAGGCCAAGAGCCCCAGGGAAACUAAUUUAUGAGUUUGGGUAUUCCAUGCUUGCUAUGGCAAUGAUUGCCAUCAUCAGAGCAAGGUAUAUCAGAUUGAUCACCAAACCAACCUGUGAAGCACAAAUAUCAAAGGAUCCCAAGACGAGAAUUGAUGAUGAAAACAUUUAACAAUGUUUCAUGUAUUCUAAUGGUGUGAUAUUCCUAAUUUCCCAGAGCUUCACCCCUGUAUCAGUGCAAGUAUUCAAGGCAAUGCCAAUUUACAAAACUUAAACAAGAAACAAGAACAAAUGCAUUCCACCUUCCAUUGGAGAAGAAUAAGCAACGUAAGGAUCAUUUCCCCAGGAAAAAAAAUAGGGGCUUGAAGAUUUGAACUGUGUUUGAGCAUUCUAUAGAAAAAUCCAAACAAAACAUUGAUGCUGGAGAAUGUUAUGUAGAAAAGCCCUUCAAGUCUCUAACUUUUAGAUUGCUGAGAAGCAUGAGGAAAUAAUUCCUCAGAAUAGCGUACAUGAUCACUGUGCAAAUAGGAUGAUUUUACAAUAUUUUCCCAUUUGGAACUAGUAGAGGAUGUCUUAGGAUCCUCCUGCUUACUCUGGAAACUGGUGCCUUGGUGUAAAUGCCAUGGCAGAUUUUGAGAGGAAAUUGAAGGCAGGGUACGCCAAAGCCAAGAUUCCGAAGGAGUUUUGGGUAGAAGUGGGGGAAGAGGAGUCUGCACUAAAUUGGUUUUUGCAUUUUGAGAAUCAAUGUUUGAAAUCUGAUUGCUAUCAAUAUUUAGAUUUCCUUCUGAGGUUGUACUUGCACAUACUAAGGCCUUUGAUUCCUGAGAUAAGUUCUCAGACCUGUCUGCUUUGCCUUUGUGAGAUGACCUGUCUGAGAGAAGAUAUAAAUCAGCUUCACCAGACUCCAAGCACUUGUGUUCCAGUUUACCCAUUCCCCCAGGAAGAUUCAGGCGUUUCGUGUCUUCAGAAAAAGAUUCUAUUGCAGCAGUUUCUUGAAUUUCUCUGCUAUUUAACAAAGAUUUAAGAUCCUUUUCUCCAGAGUCCACAAAACCCCUCUUAUUGACUUCAGAGGAAGCUGAAUUUGAACACAAUAAUCCAGCCACAUUUACAGUAUCGACAUACAAUGUCUUCUCAACAGGGGGGGUCACAGGGCAAGAUCCUCGUCUAAUCCCAUGAUAAGAUACUAGUUCCUGAGACUUACUGUAGACUUUGCUAUAAAAAUUCAAUUUAUUAGCUUUCAAAUCCUCGAGUUCUUUAGGGAUGCCCAAAAAUCCCCCUCCACGGAAGGGUGACUGAGGUGCUUGAUUGCGGUAAGGAGAUAUGCCCCCUGAUCGCCUAAAAGGAGAUGUCCGACUUAUCAUUUGCCGGUCACUUGUAUAUGAGAACCGAUUGGAUCCACAACUUAGCUUGUUCUCAACACCUACAAGCUUAGGUGAUCGAAUUUCAUUGUCUAGAUUUUGUUUAUAAACAGCAUCCUUGGCAGGCUUCUUUACUGAUGGACUCUGAGACCUGGCAUAAGCUGCUUUACUCAGUUUUUUAAUAUCGUCACGGGUGGAAGACAUCGAAGCGUGGGCCCUAACUUUGAUCACAGGAACAGGAUUCAAGAGGCUCAAAGAAUUCCUUACGCAUAACCGAGGAAGCAUACCACAGCCUUUGGUUGCUAUACUGCCAGAAUCAGUACAAUCAUCACAUUCAUCUUCACUUUCUUCAUCUUCUAUAUCCUGGCCAUAAGGUAGGGCAUUUAAAGAUUCAUUUCGAUUAACAGGAGCUUUCCUAUCUGGAUGAACAACCUUCAUAAUCUGCCUAGGCUGUUCAGCUGAUACAGGCUGCUUUCUUGAAGCAUAAUGAGGUGUCUCCAAUGUCAUUGCCUUGGCAGCAGGCAAGAAGCGACUCAUCAUGAAAUCUCGGGUUUGUGGAUCAGUGGAGAAUGUUCCUGAUCGCUUCACAACCUGAUUAUCAAACCCACUCACACCGCUUACACUACAGUUCACAGAGGACGAAUCCGUAGGACACAAUGUGUAUAGUGCAUCAGAGUAAACAUCAUCAUGAUUAUCAUUGUCACCAUCGUUCUCUGAAUUGAAGCCUGCUUUCUCAUUCACUCCCUCCUUCAAACGAUCCAAUCCACUCACAACAACAUUCUCGAAAGAAUUUGCUUCAUUUUGAUGCCUAAACACAUCUUGAUCUUCAGGUUUCUUUCCCUUAAUGUUCCUGAUAACAUCCAAUGCCCUUUGAGUAACAAAUGCCUCCUUUCGGCCCCGAGGAACAUGCAUGCUAGCUUCCUUGCGCCUGCCAGGGAUCUGUUCCCAAUGAAAAGGAAUUGCAACUGGUUCUGUUACUUGAUCUAAAUUGAAAUCCGAAUUAUGAGAACGAAGAGUCUGGCGUCUAUUGAGGUGGGAGUUUUCGAAUUUUUCCCUAUUUGCUCCAUUUGAAGAUUUUGUUGGAGUAGAAGAUCUCCUAACUGACAAAAGCGGCACAUUGAAAUUCAACUUCCUUUCCUCCAUCACUGCUCGCUCCACUAUCAAGCAAAUUCAAAAACUCACUAAUUGCACAUCAUUGCUUAUACAAAAGGAUCAAGGCGAGUCAAUCCAGAAAAUAAAU